rnacentral:rRNA from 1 species
CCUACGGGUGGCUGCAGUGGGGAAUAUUGCACAAUGGGCGCAAGCCUGAUGCAGCCAUGCCGCGUGUGUGAAGAAGGCCUUCGGGUUGUAAAGCACUUUCAGCGGGGAGGAAGGCGUUAAGGUUAAUAACCUUGGCGAUUGACGUUACCCGCAGAAGAAGCACCGGCUAACUCCGUGCCAGCAGCCGCGGUAAUACGGAGGGUGCAAGCGUUAAUCGGAAUUACUGGGCGUAAAGCGCACGCAGGCGGUCUGUCAAGUCGGAUGUGAAAUCCCCGGGCUCAACCUGGGAACUACAUUCGAAACUGGCAGGCUAGAGUCUUGUAGAGGGGGGUAGAAUUCCAGGUGUAGCGGUGAAAUGCGUAGAGAUCUGGAGGAAUACCGGUGGCGAAGGCGGCCCCCUGGACAAAGACUGACGCUCAGGUGCGAAAGCGUGGGGAGCAAACAGGAUUAGAUACCCGGGUAGUC